rnacentral:rRNA from 1 species
UACGAAGGGUGCAAGCGUUACUCGGAAUCACUGGGCGUAAAGGGCGCGUAGGCGGCCAUUCAAGUCAGGGGUGAAAGCCUGUGGCUCAACCACAGAAUUGCCUUUGAUACUGUUUGGCUAGAGACCGGAAGAGGUAAGUGGAACUGCGAGUGUAGAGGUGAAAUUCGUAGAUAUUCGCAAGAACACCAGUGGCGAAGGCGGCUUACUGGUCCGGUUCUGACGCUGAGGCGCGAAAGCGUGGGGAGCAAACAGG